rfam:Aedes albopictus isolate Foshan contig1498, whole genome shotgun sequence.
UGCCCAGCAACUCCUAUCCCUACUUCCUCGUGGUAACGGCCGGAAACUACGAGCAACCUUAGGGAAGA